AGCAGCCAAUCAAAGGCUUUAGAUUAGUCACGCUUGUUAAAGUCACGUGCUCGUGACUGAAUUCACUGCGUUCACGAAGUCUCUCGUCUUAAACAACAAAUAGUGUUUUAGCGACGUUAAGUAUUACAUUUCGCUGCUUCAGUAAUUGUAAGUGAUGAAUUUCAUCGGAUCACAACCCUUCCUUUACACUCCAAAAUUCAUGUCCAAACUGGAUCUGUUCUCUGAUGAUCUGCUAAAAGUGUUUACCAAAAAGGGUGGAGUGUUUAGAAAAAAGAUUCAAGAUGUGAUGCUGCCAAUGUCUCAGACCAAGCAAGAGUGCAUUCUCAAGGGGCUAUGCAUCUACCUGAAUGAAGAUGAAUAUGAUGGAGUAUUUGGAUGAUGACCCUGCAAGAACCGAAGCGGACAUAAAGAAGACCUUUUAGGGAUUCUGUGAUGUAAAGCAUGAAUUUGCUGAUGCAACAGAAGACCCCGAAGAUAUCUGCAUUGUGCUGGAAGAUGUGGAGGUGCUUUCUGGUUUAGGUAAUGUAGCAUUGGCUACAGCCAUGCUACUUGGACUAAUAUACUCUUUAAAUCUUACUCAUCCACAGGAGAUCCAUUACACUUUUAAGGUGCUCCAAAAAAUGAUUCUCGAGCUGAAUUUGUGUAAAUUGUCUGCCAAAGCACAGGCGCAGAAAACAAAGCUCUUCACUUAGGUGUGCUGUGUUUGAGGAUCCCUUUGUGAAUGCUGUUUUAUUUCUUUGUAUGCUCAUGUGAUUUUGUUGUAUCUGAAUUUUUGCACGAUGAGCAGAGGUGAUUACGUCUCUCAAUCACAUUUAAUGUUUAAGAAAACAAAAUAAAAUAACAUUUUGUUAUAUUCUUAUAUGCUCAUGUUUUAUUUGAAUUGUCAUUUUUGUAACUUAAUGAGCAUGUUUAAUUGCCAUAUUUGCAGUUUUAAGCAAGAAGACACUCGAGGUUAAAUGUGCUCAUGUUUUAAAUACAGAUUUUUACUAAAUGGAUUGACUUUUAACAUAUUGACUUUCUUCACAGUAGACUAUAGGUAUACAGUAAAAAGGUUUUAAUGUAAUAGAACACAAUUAUUUCACUUUCAUUUGGAAGUAACUGUAGAAUCAAGUUAGAAAAGUGUAAUGAUUUAAAUUGUUUCUAGUAUGCAGUACAAAAAUGUUUGUAGUUGACAUUGCAUUGUUAGAUAUAGUAGACAUGACCAAAUUGAAUGUAGUUAACAUAGCAUUAUUUUAUAUAGUAGGCAUGACAAAAUUCAGAGUAGUUAACCUGACACAACUUUCUCUAUUAGGCAUGGCUAAACAUUAUCUAGUAGAAUGGACCAAUUUUCUUCUUGUUGUCUUGACUAAAAUAAUUUAAGUUUACACAACAAGAUUACAACAAAUAAAUUCAAACUAAUUCGAUAUUGUUUGGAAAAUGUAAUUCAAUUUCGUGGAAAAGUUUACUCAAAUUUUUUUAAGUUCAUUCAACAACUUUUUUUUUUGAGUGUAACAGAAACAUAUGUAAAUCAUAACAUAACACAACAUUUAAGUACUAACCUACUGUAUGUCUCUCCAUGUUAUUCUUUUGUAAAAAAAAAAAAAACUCCCACAAAAAAACACUUAAUUUCUACAUUUAUUUUCCUUGUUGGCUGAUGCAAAGCAUCCUGGGAACUAGAAAACGCAAUAAUUUUAAGUUCACCUUACUACAACAGCAUUUUGAGUUUACAGAACUUAUUCCAAUUAAGUCCAAUGAACUUUCAUUAUUAUUUGAAUGACAUUAACUUUCAUUUUUUUAUAAAUUUUUACUGUUCGGUUUUACAGUGCACACCAAAUUAUACU
rnacentral:lncRNA from 1 species